UAAUCCUAGAUAGAAUAGGAAAACUAAAAUAAGUCGCAUUUGGAAUAGGAAACACCUAAAACUACUCCUGCAUCUUUAACCAAACAAAAUAGGAAGUCAUAAAGUGUUUGGGCUGCUUGGGAUGGAUCUUCGGACUGAAAAACAAGUCUUCACGUUGUUGGACUGAAGGACACAUGCCCUGGGCAUGUGAAUGGGCUCUUCACAGCGGGUGGGUGUGUGGUUUGCUGGUUUGAAGAAACAUGCCACGCAUCAGGUUCCUAGAAAUGUUUUGCUAAGCCUGACUUCCAUAAAUGCUGAUGAGUCUGAGUAGAUUUGUUAAAUGAUCAAAUAUGUUAUAUUUGGAUUUAACUGUUUUCAUGCUAGUCCAUUAGUCUGACAAAUGCAAAUCUACAUUCUACAUCUUAACAUGAAAGAUCAAGUAUUUGUCCAAAAAAGCAACUGACAAAACAAGCACAUGCAUUCUUGGCUAUACAUUGAAUAUUCAGCAGUUAUCAGGUUACAGUAACAUUAUUCGUGCUUUGUCUUUUAUGCAUAAAUG
rnacentral:misc_RNA from 1 species